rnacentral:rRNA from 1 species
GACGAACGCUGGCGGCGUGCUUAACACAUGCAAGUCGUACGGUAAGGCCCUUUCGGGGGUACACGAGUGGCGAACGGGUGAGUAACACGUGAGUAACCUGCCCACAACUUUGGGAUAACGCUAGGAAACUGGUGCUAAUACUGGAUAUGUGCUCCUGCUGCAUGGUGGGGGUUGGAAAGCUCCGGCGGUUGUGGAUGGACUCGCGGCCUAUCAGCUUGUUGGUGGGGUAGUGGCCUACCAAGGGGGCGACGGGUAGCCGGCCUGAGAGGGUGACCGGCCACCUUGGGACUGAGAUACGGCCCAGACUCCUACGGGAGGCAGCAGUGGGGAAUAUUGCACAAUGGGCGCAAGCCUGAUGCAGCAACGCCGCGUGCGGGAUGACGGCCUUCGGGUUGUAAACCGCUUUCAGCAGGGACGAAGCUUUUUGUGACGGUACCUGCAGAAGAAGCACCGGCUAACUACGUG